ensembl:misc_RNA 7SK 7SK RNA
AGAAAUGAGAGUAAUUUGGCUGCAACAUCUGUCACCUUACUGAUUGCUUAAUCUGGGUGACUGGGCAGGUCUCCUCAACCUUCCUAACUUCUCCAUGUAUGUCCCUCCUGAAGCUUCUUGUGAUGUCAAAGAGGAUGACCCUCCCCAAUAGAAGAAGACCAUUCUUCUGUCAAGGUACACAAGGAGCUCUGUUCCUGUUAGAACCUUCAAACAUGCUGUUCAGGCAAUAGAUGUAAAUGGUGAGACUUUGGAUGCUAAAAUUCUAAAAAGUUA